UACGUAGGGUGCGAGCGUUGUCCGGAAUUAUUGGGCGUAAAGAGCUCGUAGGCGGUUUGUCGCGUCGGAUGUGAAAGCCCGGGGCUUAACUCCGGGUCUGCAUUCGAUACGGGCAGGCUAGAGUUCGGUAGGGGAGAUCGGAAUUCCUGGUGUAGCGGUGAAAUGCGCAGAUAUCAGGAGGAACACCGGUGGCGAAGGCGGGUCUCUGGGCCGAUACUGACGCUGAGGAGCGAAAGCGUGGGGAGCAAACAGG
rnacentral:rRNA from 1 species